CAGCCCUUCAAGCAUGCCAAAAAUUAGUAAAUUUCAGCCAUUUUACGUUGGCAAAUGGCAAUUUUAACUUUAUAUAUGCCUCAAGUUGUGAGCUGUACGAAAAUCAGCAAUCAAGCCUAUACAACAAGCAUCAAUCAUGCUUUGCAAAUAGUGAAAUAAAUGCAAGAAGUCAUAUUUGUACCGAAAUUGCAAAAAAUUGUGGAUUUGACAGCCACCAACAACAACGAAGUUCAAGGAAAUCGCAAACGAAAGAGAAAUGAAUAAUAAAAUGCAUGCGCUUGGACAUGUGGCAAGCAGAAAUGAGGCAAUUUGUUGUACUUCACACGACAGUGAAAAGUGUUUAAG